UCUGUCUCUCCAUCUCCUCAGGUCCUAGCUGAGGAUCCUUGGUUCCUCUAAUAUUAUCCAAUCAGUAAUAUCCUAAGGGGGCAUUUCCUGGUGUAUGGCCCAUCCUCUUACAGCCAUACAAGGUAACAGUGGAAUGUCUCAGCUUCAUAAGAGCGAGACGCCGGGAGGAGAGGGCGACCCAUUCUGAUGAGCAGUCGUGCCACGAGCUCCCACUUAAUGUGGAAAAAAUCUUAACUUUAGGGAAUUUUAAAGGAAGCCAGAUACGUUUGUGACCUCAUCACCAGCAGCUACCAAACAAGAGACACAACCAAAGUAAAGGGCAGUUAAUUACUUUCACCAGGCAACGCUGAGCACCCGGCGAGUGAAGAUGAAAAGCAGAGUCCUCUCAUCAGCCCAGCGGCGCCGCAGCUCGCCGACCUGCAGCAGAGCGUCAGGACACUGCUUUGUUGUGGUAAGUGAGAAAAGAUGGAAGAGGAGAAUAUGUGGAAGCAACAGCCUGGGUUCCUGUUCUCAGGGUGGGAGGCUGAAGAAACCACGACUCCUUCGUAUGUUUGCUUUCCCUGAUUCUUCCCUAAUUAGAGGCCACACUGUCAGCUGAUCAGGACCCAGCUCGCCUCGGUGCUCACAUGCACAUGACCAUUUUUGGUAGUAAUGAUGAUUUAAGCUUCUUUUAUGGCUCCUGCUGCUUUUGCACACUGUGUGACUUUGUUUACCAUUUCAUUGGCUACACGAGGCUGUCCUGCAGCUUUUAUUUGAAAAAGAUGAAUUCCACAAACAUAGGUGUCACCUGUCAGUGAGAGAGGGGGGGGCACUCGAGUAAGGAUGUGACAGAUGGGGAGAGGGGCUUCCUGUGUGUGAUUUAGGGAGCCAGGGGGAAGAGAAAGAAGACCAUAUUUGGCAAUGUUUGUCUUAGCAUAAGACACGGCUCUGACUGUUAUCACACUCUGUCUAAACACACACAGAUUCCCAGCAGCUAAACGUCACUGAUUACAGACGAGCUUUCUUAACAUGUAAUGAUUAGUUCAGACUGGGUCGCUGAUGUAAAGAUGUUAUUCAUCAUGCUCUUAUAUUCAGAGAUUAUUGGGCUUUUUUUUAGCAACAGCAAACUGCAGAAGCAUCUGAUAAAUGGCAAAAACCACCGCUGCUCCCCACAAAUGUUCAGUUUAUCAGGAGAAACUUUAUUUCUGUCAUUUAAAUGCAAAGUGCACCAAAAUGUCUUUGCAACGUUGUUUUGAUGUGAAUCCAUUUGUGGAGAACGUCUCUUCAGAUAUGAGCCACUGUGGGACUGUGGCCUUUCUCACACACAGCCAGCCACUGUGUGUGAGAAAGGCAAACAGCUGGGUUUUCUUCUUAAUAUGGUCGUGCUGAGCCAAACGCACACGGAGCAGGACUGAGUGAGAUAAAGACCUCCUCUCUCUGCUGCCUUUUAAGUGAGUCUUUUACUGGUGUGACUAGAAAAGGGAAUGUUGCUGCCGAAGGAGGAGGUGCGGGUGAAGGUUGGGGGGGGGGGGGGUCACAUACUAUCAGUGGGAGCGAUCGCAGACUGGAAGAGGGAAUGUUUAUCCAAAGCAGUGAUCCCAUUUUCCAUGAUCCUCAAAAUAAGAGACUUGCCUUAUAUGGUCAGACUGGGAGUUUCCAGCUGAGCAGAGUCAGAACAUUUGUGGAAAACACCCGGCCUCUGCUUCUCCCAUUGCCUUAAGUGUCUCAGUCUGCUGCACCUUCCUUUGAUGGAUGAACAGCUCGGAAAAAGGAAUUCUAUGAAUAAUCACUGCUUAGUAGUUCUCUCAGAUGGAUCCGGAGUAACGUGCCGGUCCAUCCCGAGCCUUCGGCAGAGUUUUAGCUCUCAUCCAAACUGUGGGAGAGAUGAACAGCUUUCUGAGACUGGCCCAAACAGCAGCGGCAUGUUCCCGUGUCACAGACCAGGACCAGGCCACAGCAGAAUCCACUCCUCGCUUACUGAGGAGGCCGUUGUAAAGGCCGUCUUCUGUUUCUACUCGUGUAUGUUGCAGAUGUCUUUCACAUGUUUCAGGUGCACAAAACGAUGUGUGUGACUGCGUGCACACAGAAGCUGAACCAGUACGGGACACCGGUGCACAGCUACCAAAUCAAAUCAUCUCUGGCUCGAUUAUUCCUGCAGAAAUGUUUGAACUCUGCACUUCAUGUCAGUCGCUCCACACACACACACACAUGCACACACGCACACACGCACGCACACACGCAUGCACACACAGAGAGACACACACACACACACUCUCACACACACACACACACACACACUCUCACACACACACACACACACACACUCUCACACACUCUCACACACUCUCACACACUCUCUCACACACACACACACACACACACACACACACACACACACACACACACUCUCACACACUCUCACACACUCUCACACACUCUCACACACACACACACACACACACACACACACACACACACACACACACACGCACACACGCACCGUGAAAGUGUGACUUGUCUAUAUGUGUUCUGAGGUCCUCUCUUUUCAUUCAUAUCUAAACUGCUUCCCUCUGUGUUUCUGCAGUUUCCUUCCAUCCCUGCGGCCCAUGGUGCAGUGCUGCAUCUCUGGUCAGUUGGUAGUCUGAGAUGAAGCACUGUAGCUCGGGACGGAGGGCGCAAAUACCAAUUUAAACAUAUCCACCACCAGGACACGUAGCCCAGCAGCAGGUCUCCACAGACCUGCUGCUGGAAUAGGAAAAAAUCCCGGAUCCUGUGAAAGGAGGCAGCUGCAGGCAUGGCUGUGGAUUUUAGGUGACUGGACUAUUAAAUUGAAUUUAUAACUAUUCCAGUUCUAACAAUGCUGCUUUGUCCCAUUUCAAGAACAAACGAAAUUGGAAACAAGCUGAGAACAAACUGUACCUUCCUCUUCUCCUCUCUCCUGGGGUCCAGUUUUCCCAGGAAUCCCUUGACCUAUCAGAAAGGGGGAUUCCUGGAAAUACUGUUCUUGGGGGUGGGGCUUAUCAGCAAUCCUUUAUGCUUUAACUGUAUAAUAAAACGGAUUAUUUGCACUGACUGACUUUUGAAUUCAUGUGUUAUUUAAACACAAGAGAAACCAAAGUGAGGAGCGGCUGUAAUGUUACCGUGAUGGAGAAAUAUUUACUGUCACACGUCGUUAGGUGAAGAUGGAAGAAUAACUGGUUUUACAUUUUAUUUAAAAAGAUUUCAUCCUGAAUAUGAAGCGUUUUUGUGUGUGUGUCAUGAUCCCGCCUGUGCUGGAGUACUAUGUUGUUCGUCUGUUCAGAAACAAUAAAGAAAAGUCCUCGUGACUGUUCCAACUGCUGA
ensembl:lncRNA